UGAGGGAAUAUUGGGUCAAUGGGCGAGAGCCUGAACCAGCCAAGUAGCGUGCAGGACGACGGCCCUAUGGGUUGUAAACUGCUUUUAUAAGGGAAUAAAGUGGGUCACGUGUGACUUUUUGCAUGUACCUUAUGAAUAAGGACCGGCUAAUUCCGUGCCAGCAGCCGCGGUAAUACGGAAGGUCCGGGCGUUAUCCGGAUUUAUUGGGUUUAAAGGGAGCGUAGGCCGGAGAUUAAGCGUGUUGUGAAAUGCCCGCGGCUCAACCGUGGCACUGCAGCGCGAACUGGAGGCCUUGAGUGCGUGCGAGGAAGGCGGAAUGCGUUGUGUAGCGAUGAAAUGCAUAGAUAUGACGCAGAACUCCGAUUGCGAAGCAGCUUCCAGCGCG
rnacentral:rRNA from 1 species